AUUGAACGCUGGCGGCAUGCCUUACACAUGCAAGUCGAACGGCAGCACGGGAGCAAUCCUGGUGGCGAGUGGCGAACGGGUGAGUAAUGUAUCGGAACGUGCCCAGUCGUGGGGGAUAACGUAGCGAAAGCUACGCUAAUACCGCAUACGAUCUAUGGAUGAAAGCGGGGGAUCGCAAGACCUCGCGCGAUUGGAGCGGCCGAUAUCAGAUUAGGUAGUUGGUGGGGUAAAGGCCCACCAAGCCUGCGAUCUGUAGGUGGUCUGAGAGGACGACCAGCCACACUGGAACUGAGACAAGGUCCAGACUCCUACGGGAGGCAGCAGUGGGGAAUUUUGGACAAUGGGCGCAAGCCUGAUCCAGCAAUGCCGCGUGCAGGAUGAAGGCCUUCGGGUUGUAAACUGCUUUUGUACGGAACGAAACGGCUUUUUCUAAUACGGAGAGCUAAUGACGGUACCGUAAGAAUAAGCACCGGCUAACUACGUGCCAGCAGCCGCCGUAA
rnacentral:rRNA from 1 species